AGCAGCCGCGGUAAUUCCAGCUCCAAUAGCGUAUAUUAAAGUUGUUGCAGUUAAAAAGCUCGUAGUUGAAUUUCGGGAUCAAUAUUUCGGUCAUGCCGUUGGUAUGCACUGUUAUCAUUGAUUUCUCACCUUCUAAAGAACCGUAAUGCCAUUAAUUUGGUGUUACGGGGAAUUAGGACUGUUACCUUGAAAAAUUAGAGUGUUUAAAGCAGGCUCACGCUUGAAUACAUUAGCAUGGAAUAAUGAAAUAGGACAUCCGAUUCUAUUUUGUUGGUUUCUAGGAUCGAUGUAAUGAUUAGUAGGGAUAGUUGGGGGCAUUAGUAUUCAAUUGUCAGAGGUGAAAUUCUUGGAUUUAUUGAAGACUAACUACUGCGAAAGCAUUUGCCAAGGAUGUUUUCAUUAAUCAAGAACGAAAGUUAGGGGAUCGAAGACGAUCAGAUACCGUCGUAGUCUUAACCAUAAACUAUGCCGACUAGGGAUCGGAUGAUGUUAAUUUUUAAUGA
rnacentral:rRNA from 1 species